GACGAACGCUGGCGGCGUGCUUAACACAUGCAAGUCGAACGAUGAACUUGGAGCUUGCUCUGGGGGAUUAGUGGCGAACGGGUGAGUAACACGUGAGUAACCUGCCCUGGACUCUGGGAUAACCUCGAGAAAUCGGAGCUAAUACCGGAUAGGACCUUGCACCGCAUGGUGUGGGGUGGAAAGUUUUUCGGUUUGGGAUGGACUCGCGGCCUAUCAGCUUGUUGGUGAGGUAAUGGCUCACCAAGGCGUCGACGGGUAGCCGGCCUGAGAGGGUGACCGGCCAACCUGGGACUGAGACACGGCCCAGACUCCUACGGGAGGCAGCAGUGGGGAAUAUUGCACAAUGGGCGCAAGCCUGAUGCAGCAACGCCGCGUGCGGGAUGACGGCCUUCGGGUUGUAAACCGCUUUUAGUAGGGGAGAAGCCUUCGGGUGACGGUACCUGCAGAAAAAGGACCGGCUAACUACGUGCCAGCAGCCGCCGUAAAAC
rnacentral:rRNA from 1 species